rnacentral:rRNA from 1 species
AUUGAACGCUGGCGGCAGGCCUAACACAUGAAAGUCGAACGAGUGGCGGACGGGUGAGUAAUGUCUGGGAAACUGCCUGAUGGCGGGGGAUAACUACUGGAAACGGUAGCUAAUACCGCAUACCAUCAGAUGUGCCCAGAUGGGAUUAGCUAGUUGGUUGGGUAACGGCUCACCAAGGAGACGAUCCAUAGCGGGUCUGAUAGGAUGACCAGCCAAACUGGAACUGAGCCACGGUCCAGACUCCUACGGGAGGCAUCAGUGGGGAAUAUUGCACAAUGGGCGCAAGCCUGAUGCAGCCAUGCCGCGUGUAUGAAGAAGGCCUUCGGGUUGUAAAGUACUUUCAGCGGGGAGGCGUUACCCGCAGAAGAAGCACCGGCUAACUCCGUGCCAGCAGCCGCGGUAAUAC